rnacentral:lncRNA from 1 species
CCGAUAAUGGUAAUGCUUCAACAAGGAAUAAUAGUGGAUAUCUAACUCCAAUUUAGCCUACUUUUUCCAAAAUUAUCCCACCGUUUACCCAAGCCAAGUUAUAACCCUCAAGACCUCAAAAAUGUGUGCGAUGUAUUUACCUUGAUUGACAUUUAGAAUUUUUUCAAGCUUAUGGUAAAAUAACAUUUGCAUGUUGAUGGAGUGAAUACCCUAUCAAAAAUUGAGUGAAUUAGUGAGUGAGAGAUAAGGUUGAACCUUGUACAUUGUGUGGAACGAUCAUCAGACCAAAUUUGAUUCAAGUCUUGGAAGCCAAAGUGUUGAUUGAGCAGGAUCACUGAAGUUAACACCGGUAGUUCUAUUGCCGGAUGAAGAGAAAAAGGUUUAUGAGAUUUUUAUCAUUCAAAUUAAUUUGUUAAUUCCCUGACAGUUUUGUUUUGACAGGCAUGUCACUUGAGGACAAGUAACAGUUUAAGUUUGGGGUUGUGAUGACAUUCGGUCAUUUGAGUAUUUUUUAUUAUUAUUUUAAGUAUUUUAGUUAGUUUUUAGUAGAAUUGCAUAGUCAAAGAGAAGAAUUUAUGAAGAAAUUAACAUGU